rnacentral:rRNA from 1 species
AAGCGUUAAUCGGAAUUACUGGGCGUAAAGAGUGCGUAGGCGGUUCCUGAAGUCCGCUGUGAAAGCCCCGGGCUUAACCUGGGAAUGGCAGUGGAAACUGGAGGACUUGAAUUGAGCAGAGGGGGGUAGAAUUCCACGUGUAGCAGUGAAAUGCGUAGAGAUGUGGAGGAACACCGAUGGCGAAGGCAGCCCCCUGGGUCAAGAUUGACGCUCAUGCACGAAAGCGUGGGGAGCAAACAGG